rnacentral:piRNA from 1 species
UCAUGGUUUUUUCAUCAUUUG